UAUGAUGUUAUGUAGGCGUGGUGUAAAGUGCAGAAAUUAAAAAUGGCGGAUUUUCUGUCCAGCAAAUACUAUUCAGAAACUAAAGUUUCAAAGCUAAAACUCAUCCUAGAAAUUUUUUUGAAGAAGACCUAGUGGUAUAGAAAUUCCUGAAGAGGCUAAUUGUGUUAAUUGUAAUGGAAAUCUUUUACUGGAAGUGAGCCAGAUGUACAGGAUAAAGGAUUUGAGGUCCAAAGAGAAGUAAAGGAGGAACAGAAAUGAGCAUCACAAAGUCUGUUAUUGAUGAUUAGGAUAGUUUCUUGUGCCUGCUGACAGGAUUUAGUGGCAAACAAAGUGUCAAUCACUACUGUGGCUCUGUA